UACGGAGGGUGCAAGCGUUAUCCGGAUUUACUGGGUUUAAAGGGUGCGUAGGUGGGUCUGUAAGUCAGUGGUGAAAUCUCCGGGCUUAACCCGGAAACUGCCAUUGAUACUAUAGAUCUUGAAUAUCCUGGAGGUGAGCGGAAUAUGUCAUGUAGCGGUGAUAUGCUUAGAUAUGACAUAGAACACCAAUUGCGAAGGCAGCUCACUACGGGAUCAUUGACACUGAGGCACGAAAGCGUGGGGAUCAAACAGG
rnacentral:rRNA from 1 species